GACGAACGCUGGCGGCGUGCUUAACACAUGCAAGUCGAACGGUAAGGCCCUUCGGGGUACACGAGUGGCGAACGGGUGAGUAACACGUGGGUGAUCUGCCCUGCACUUCGGGAUAAGCCUGGGAAACUGGGUCUAAUACCGGAUAGUAUCACUGCCUGCAUGGGUGGUGGUGGAAGGUGUUUGCGGUGUGGGGUGGGCCCGCGGCCUAUCAGCUUGUUGGUGGGGUGAUGGCCUACCAAGGCGACGACGGGUAGCCGGCCUGAGAGGGUGACCGGCCACACUGGGACUGAGAUACGGCCCAGACUCCUACGGGAGGCAGCAGUGGGGAAUAUUGCACAAUGGGCGCAAGCCUGAUGCAGCGACGCCGCGUGAGGGAUGACGGCCUUCGGGUUGUAAACCUCUUUCAGCACCGACGAAGCGCAAGUGACGGUAGGUGCAGAAGAAGGACCGGCCAACUACGUGCCAGCCGCCGCAGUAA
rnacentral:rRNA from 1 species